rnacentral:tRNA from 1 species
GGAUUGUAGCUCAAUGGUAGAGCACCUGCCUAGCACGGGUGAGGCACUGAGUUCAUUCCUCAGCACCA